GCGGCGCCAGGCUGCUCGCCGCAGCGGGCGGACGGGGUUCGCCGACCCUCGCUCUCCGCCACCCGCGGACUGCGCCUAGCGAAGCGGACCGCCGCGCGGCCUGCCGGGACUUGUAGUCCGUGGUUCCCGACGCUGCAGACCUGCGAGCCACGGAACCCGGGAGUCGGAGGGGUCAGGGCGCCUGACCUGUGUCUUUGCCCUACUGCGGACGUACAGCCUUCCUGAAAACUUGUUUCUGCAGGAGGCGCAGAGUCGUGUUCAGUGGAGAAUCGGGUUGUGGGUUUGUGUAUUUCGAAUAAGGUUAUUAGAACAAGUAGAACAAGUAGGAGAAGACGACAUUGACAGUUGCCCAACGUAUACAGAUUGUCCCACUAAAAGAAAUCAAGGCUUCUUAGAGACUCAUUCCGGACCUAGGGAUGGAAAUGGGUAAGAUGAUCCUGAAAUAUUUCGUCACACCAGAAAGCAUGGAAGUUAUCAAAGACAAUGAGGGCUGGGCCAGAAGAACUCAGAAGUCAACAUGAAGAGCCUCCCACUUGCAAAACUGAUUAUCAAUGGAUUGAAGCACAUCAAGUAUCUUUACCUCUAAGUAUACCAGCUAGUAAGUGAAAAAGGAAUGCCAGAACCUCACCAAUCUGCAACUCCUACUGAUUUAUGGGUGCUGCGAUAGUAAUGUCUGCUAACAUCACAAGAAAGACUACCAGACUCUGGAUUUUCCUGAUAGCAGUAAACACCACCAUCUGUGAGGUUGCUCUAUACCUUCCCCAGCCCCACAACAAAAACAAAGCCAAACAAAACCUUACAUCUGGGGAUGCCUGUGUGGCUCAACGGCUGAGCCUCUCUC